GCCUAACACAUGCAAGUCGAGCGGUAGCACAGAGAGCUUGCUCUCGGGUGACGAGCGGCGGACGGGUGAGUAAUGUCUGGGAAACUGCCUGAUGGAGGGGGAUAACUACUGGAAACGGUAGCUAAUACCGCAUAACGUCGCAAGACCAAAGUGGGGGACCUUCGGGCCUCAUGCCAUCAGAUGUGCCCAGAUGGGAUUAGCUAGUAGGUGGGGUAAUGGCUCACCUAGGCGACGAUCCCUAGCUGGUCUGAGAGGAUGACCAGCCACACUGGAACUGAGACACGGUCCAGACUCCUACGGGAGGCAGCAGUGGGGAAUAUUGCACAAUGGGCGCAAGCCUGAUGCAGCCAUGCCGCGUGUAUGAAGAAGGCCUUCGGGUUGUAAAGUACUUUCAGCGAGGAGGAAGGCGUUAAGGUUAAUAACCUUGGCGAUUGACGUUACUCGCAGAAGAAGCACCGGCUAACUCCGUGCCAGCAGCCGCGGCAAUACGGAGGGUGCAAGCGUUAAUCGGAAUUACUGGGCGUAAAGCGCACGCAGGCGGUCUGUCAAGUCGGAUGUGAAAUCCCCGGGCUCAACCUGGGAACUGCAUUCGAAACUGGCAGGCUAGAGUCUUGUAGAGGGGGGUAGAAUUCCAGGUGUAGCGGUGAAAUGCGUAGAGAUCUGGAGGAAUACCGGUGGCGAAGGCGGCCCCCUGGACAAAGACUGACGCUCAGGUGCGAAAGCGUGGGGAGCAAACAGGAUUAGAUACCCUGGUAGUCCACGCCGUAAACGAUGUCGACUUGGAGGUUGUGCCCUUGAGGCGUGGCUUCCGGAGCUAACGCGUUAAGUCGACCGCCUGGGGAGUACGGCCGCAAGGUUAAAACUCAAAUGAAUUGACGGGGGCCCGCACAAGCGGUGGAGCAUGUGGUUUAAUUCGAUGCAACGCGAAGAACCUUACCUACUCUUGACAUCCAGAGAACUUAGCAGAGAUGCUUUGGUGCCUUCGGGAACUCUGAGACAGGUGCUGCAUGGCUGUCGUCAGCUCGUGUUGUGAAAUGUUGGGUUAAGUCCCGCAACGAGCGCAACCCUUAUCCUUUGUUGCCAGCGGUCCGGCCGGGAACUCAAAGGAGACUGCCAGUGAUAAACUGGAGGAAGGUGGGGAUGACGUCAAGUCAUCAUGGCCCUUACGAGUAGGGCUACACACGUGCUACAAUGGCAUAUACAAAGAGAAGCGACCUCGCGAGAGCAAGCGGACCUCAUAAAGUAUGUCGUAGUCCGGAUUGGAGUCUGCAACUCGACUCCAUGAAGUCGGAAUCGCUAGUAAUCGUAGAUCAGAAUGCUACGGUGAAUACGUUCCCGGGCCUUGUACACACCGCCCGUCACACCAUGGGAGUGGGUUGCAAAAGAAGUAGGUAGCUUAACCUUCGGGAGGGCGCUUACCACUUUGUGAUUCAUGACUGGGGUG
rnacentral:rRNA from 1 species